ACUGGGGUGGCAGAGCAUGGUAAAUUGCAAAAGGCCUAAGCCCUUUUAGCCAGAGGUUCAAAUCCUCUUCCCAGUU
rnacentral:tRNA from 3 species